CUCCCUCCCUGUCCCCUCCUCCCCCUUCUUCCCUCUCCCUCCCCUCUCCCUCUCCCUCUCCUCUUCUUCCCACUACUCUUGGCCCCAGAGCUAAAAGGAUCUCUUGUUCAAAGUGUCUCUCUCCAGCCCCUUCCCCCUCCUCCUCCAAGAGUAACCUCAAGGCACGAAGGACAGAACUCCGUGUUCCUAUAAACCCAGACAUUUCGUUCUUAGCCCACCUGCUUCUUCCCUGCAACACCCAAGGGCCUUCACAUUCACUCCUCGGUUUUCCUUAUUAAGUGGCAAAGCCACGCCUACAAACCAACCCUCUUUCUCCUUUUUUAUGCACCUUCCGAAACAGUGAAGGGGGCUUCUGACGUGACAGCAACAGCAGGGAAGACGGGCUCGUAAUGUGAACAUGGGCCCGAACACGGGGGGGAAGACGGGUCCCUCCUGGGAGCCUGGUCCUCCUGGGUACCGGGGAAGGCCUCACACCCAGCGCCCGUCCAAUCCUCAGCCUGGCUCCUGACCAAGUCUCCAACCAACAAGGCGUGAUGAGAAGCCAUAAUCGCAAGAGACGCAGGCUUAAGUGUUACCUGCCGUUCGGGGAGCACGGGACCCAGAGACGGCCGGGUUCACGGCACCACGCGGGAGAGGCUGACACAGCCAUGCGCUAAGGGCACGUGCAACCCACGAACGAAACUCCGGGGACCACGCGCGGCCACAGGGAGGACUGGCGAGCCGGCCGGAGAGGAGGCCCUGCCCCUGGAUGGACUGACUCGUUCUCUGGACGGCCCGGUGCGUGUCCUCAGCGCCCACUUCCGAGGAGCAAGCCGAGUGUGGCUCCUGAAUGUCUGAGCGCCACUGCACGCAGCCUCCUGUCUCUGGAGUCCUCGCCUGUGAGCAGGACACCCCACAGGCACCCACAGAGCAGAGACCAAUGAGGUGCCCAGGGGGGCCGGGGGAGCCAGCUGAGCUUGAAUCUGGUGUCUACCCGUUUAAAGGCCUUCAAAAUGUGACCAGACGUGCCACAGUCCCCCAGGUCCCUGGUCAGCAGGGUGGCAGGAUUCACCCAGGGGGAAGGCCGCUCGGCCAAGGAGGCCUCGUCACCUCCUUCUAGAGUGCUCUCCUCCUGUGUCUUCCCUUCCCGUCGUCCCCCGGGAGCCCCAAUCCCCGGGCUUGCAGGUCAGAACCCCACGUCACGGACGGGCACACGCCGGCCCUCCCUCAGCGGGAGCCCUCCAUCCACCCAUCCCUUCUGCUUUUUCCUUUCUUGAUCGCAGACCGCUUCAGUCACAGGGCGCUGGCGACUGCAGCCACCCCGGCUUCCGGGCUCCCUGGGCCCGGACACCGUUCCACGCUCCCACGCGGACUAACUCAGCGGAUUCCCACACGACCCUGCGUGGGACGUACUUUUAAUACACCCACUUUACGGGUGAGAACGUUGAGGGAUGGAGAGCUAAAAUAACCUUCCCGGGGUCCCGGGGCCAGCGGGCUGAGAAGUCAGCACUUAAACCACCUGGCCUGGUCCCGAGUGUAUCUGUGAUGCUAACUCCCUCUCCGACACGGACGGAAGGAAAAGAAAUGAAUACUCACGUGCCCACCACCCGGGUGAGGAAACACAGUGCCUGCUGUACCCCGUGCCCUCCUGGGGUCCCCACGCUCUCUGUGGGCCGCAGCCUGUCUCCCUCAUGUCACACAGACUGGUCAGGUGGUGGCCCUGGAGACCCUGGUGCCCGCACACCACUGAUCCUUCUACUCCCCCCUCCCCCCCACACCCCCCCAGAUCUGGACACCACGUCGGGCCCUCGGCCGGGCUCUGGCCCCCUUCCUUCCUGGGCAGUGGGCCUCCCAUUACACAUUCUGUCCCCCGCCCCUGCUUCCUCCCAAGGGGAUGGUGCCCACCCCUCUCGGCUCCUGGUUUCUAGAACCCUGCCCUGUAUCACUCCCGCUUCCAGUGACCCCCUCCCCUGUGUAAAUUCCCCUCCCCUCAAGGGCCAUACUUUAUCCACUUUCUUCCUCCCCGAGACUUAGCCAAAGCACUUUGCUUAUAACAGAUAAUUAAUAACAAAUUUGUUGAAUGAUGAA